GCUCACCUAAGCAACUAUCCCUAGCUGGUCUGAAAGGAUGACCACCCACACUGGAACUGACACACGGUCCACACUCCUACGGGAGGCAUCAGUGGGGAAUAUUGCACAAUGGGCGCAAGCCUGAUGCAUCCAUGCCGCGUGUGUGAAGAAUGCCUUCUGGUUGUAAAUCACUUUCAGCGGGGAGGAAGGCGAUAAGGUUAAUAACCUUGUCGAUUGACGUUACCCGCAAAAGAACCACCGGCUAACUCCGUGCCAGCAGCCGCGGUAAUACGGAGGGUGCAAGCGUUAAUCGGAAUUACUGGGCGUAAAGCGCACGCAGGCGGUCUGUCAAGUCGGAUGUGAAAUCCCCGGGCUCAACCUGGGAACUGCAUUCGAAACUGGCAGGCUAGAGUCUUGUAGAGGGGGGUAUAAUUCCAGGUGUAGCGGUGAAAUGCGUAAGAUCUGGAAGAAUACCGGUGGCGAAGGCGGCCCCCUGGACAAAGACUGACGCUCAGUGCGAAAGCGUGGGGA
rnacentral:rRNA from 1 species